AUUGAACGCUGGCGGCAGGCCUAACACAUGCAAGUCGAACGGUAACAGGGAUCAGCUUGCUGAUUCGCUGACGAGUGGCGGACGGGUGAGUAAUGUCUGGGAAACUGCCUGAUGGAGGGGGAUAACUACUGGAAACGGUAGCUAAUACCGCAUAACGUCUCAAGACCAAAGAGGGGGACCUUCGGGCCUCUUGCCAUCGGAUGUGCCCAGAUGGGAUUAGCUAGUAGGUGGGGUAACGGCUCACCUAGGCGACGAUCCCUAGCUGGUCUGAGAGGAUGACCAGCCACACUGGAACUGAGACACGGUCCAGACUCCUACGGGAGGCAGCAGUGGGGAAUAUUGCACAAUGGGCGCAAGCCUGAUGCAGCCAUGCCGCGUGUAUGAAGAAGGCCUUCGGGUUGUAAAGUACUUUCAGCGGGGAGGAAGGGAGUAAAGUUAAUACCUUUGCUCAUCGACGUUACCCGCAGAAGAAGCACCGGCUAACUCCGUG
rnacentral:rRNA from 1 species